UUUAUGCCCAGGGCUACACACGUGCUACAAAUGGGCGGUACAAAGAGAAGCAACCUCGCGAGGGUGAGCAAAUCUACAAAAGCCGUUCUCAGUUCGGAUUGAAGUCUGCAACUCGACUUCAUGAAGUCGGAAUCGCUAGUAAUCGCGGAUCAGCAUGCCGCGGUGAAUACGUUCCCGGGCCUU
rnacentral:rRNA from 1 species